AACAGAAAGGAGGAGGAAGAAAGCGAGCGAGCGCAACCCCACCCUUCGAAAAGGUCGCCGUCCUUAAGAAAGCAGACACGGGGUUCCCUGAUCCCUGCGGGAAAUGCCCCGGCGUGGAACGCGCGACCCGGGCGCUGCCUGCCCUGCCACUCGCGGCCCCCGCCCUGAGGAGCCGGGUGCGCGGGUGCGCGAGCAGGUGACUUUAUUCACUGCUUCCCCAAUCGGAGAGGUCCCGGGACUCGUUUUCCGCCUGGAGAUUAAGAUCAUUGCUCGCGUAAUGAACUUAAUGCUUUAGGGUAGAGCUCUUCCUUGGGAGAGAAUGUGACGGACUGGUUGUCAGGCUGAUUGGGCCAAAAAGAGAUAUUCUCCCCAACCCCUCCUCCCGCCCCUCCCCGCCAUCAGCUACUCCCUCAAGGGGCGAUUUCCCACACUCUCUUCUUCACCGCCCUGUCCUGGGCCUUGGGAUUCCCAACCUCGUGUAGACUCUGCACCUGGCUACCUAAGUGCCACGAGAUGCCCCACAGUCAAGUGGGUGAGGGUGGUCAGGGAGAGGGAAGUGAAACGGGGUGACAUGCCGGGCCAUACAAGCACCCCACGACCCAGUUCCACGCCACUCCACCCGGCGUCCAAGCGCCUACCAGGGAGCUCCGCAUCGUCAGGUUUUUACUGUCUAUACAUCCGAGGGCCUGCUGGGAUCCGGAAGGCUGGGGAAAGUCUGCAGAGGCUUUAAAGUGAUCCCGAGGAGCUCCUACCUAAGGCGUUGAGUGCUGCCCACGGCUCCCCCACUGCGCCUGGCGGGUGCUGCCCGGGUCCCAAGUGCCCCCGGGCCCCAAGCUCUCGCAGUCCCGCUCCCAGAGUCGCGGCAGGACUGACCCAAGAGUCCACCAAGAAGCCUCUAGCCCACCGAGUCGAGCUGUUUGGAGAGAACGGGGCCCGGAGUCCCCCAGGAGGUGCCUCUCCACAACCUUCUGAGCUGACACGGGGUCGCCUCGUCUCCAGAGACGGAGUCUGCAGUCCCCUUAGACUUGACUUUUCAGUUGGGUUGGGGAGGGGAUAGGAGGUUAGUGGAGGUGCCGGAACCGCCCCCUUUCUCCCCUCACCCCCCGCCCCCGGGGGCUCUGGGCUCUACGCAGAGACCUGUCCGCCCUGCACCUGCCGGGGGCCAGGACUCAGGGUUAGGACUCAGUGGCAGCCGCGUUCCAGCCCGGAUCCCCUCAACUGCCGCCGCAGCCCGAAGGAUCUCUCGGCGCGCGGAGGCCGGCCCAGCCCCAGCCCCAGCCCCAGGCCACAGGCAUCUCCCUCCUGCCCGGCAGCAGACUCGGGGGGCGCUGCACUCGGCAAUGAAGCCUGAGCGCAAAGUCUGCGCGCCGCGUGGGAGACGCGGGCGGGAGGGGGCGCGUGGCGCUGGUGUUUUUUCUUUUCAGAACCUUUCGACUUCACUACAAAGUUUCUUCGUAGGCGCCUGGGCCCCGGGGUCGGAGCCUCCCACCGCCGCCCUUUCCUCUCCCUCCUCCCGGCCCCCUGGAGCCGAGCGAGCCGAAGCCUCCGGCUGCCGAACUUCACCUCCCCCUGCGGGGACCCCGGCGCCCUGAGCGCCGCCCUCCUCACCCCGUCCCCAGGCUCCGCGGGGGUGCCUCUCCCCGGGGCGAAGCUCGCCGGCCGGGCGCACUGGAAGGAGACACCCGCUGCCUCCCGAGGAACUCCUAAUACCAUCCAUACAGCUUUAAUGCGUUUAUAAUUCGAUAAGUGAUUUCAAUUUGAAAUUGUUAGUAACUAAUUUUAUGGGUAAUUUUUCCACAUCAAAUAUUUAAGCAUCAGAUUAAGGGAGCCAGUUCCGACACAGGAUAAUAAGGGGGUUUCCCCCCCACCCCCCGCGGUCCCCCGCCUCCCUCGGAUUCCUACCGAGUCGUUUUUCCAAAUCCCCAAAAGAUGGCAGUCGAAGCCGACAUUCUUCUUUUCCUGCGGCCCUGCGAAGGGAGGGGCAGAAAGAGGGAAGAGGGAAGGAGCGAGAGAAAGGGGGAGUGAGGGAGAGAGAGGCACAGGGAUAAGGAAAGAUACAAGAGAAAAGAGAGGGAGAAGCUAGACGUUGCACGGACUUUUCAAAUGCCAUUCUUUCACACAAGUCUAAUACAGGCAAGAAGCAGUGGUGAAUUUCCUGGAAAUGUCCUGGCAGAAAAGAAAGCCAAAAAACGUGCCUUGUGGGCUCAGAGCAGAGGAUGUGAGAAACUCAGCACUUUCAGGCUAACCCCUCCGUUCAGAGCAGAGGCAGGAGAGGGGAGCCUGGCUUUUGGGUAUUUCUUUGUAUUUAACAUUAUAUGCAUACUGUAGAACUCAGAGGCUGUUUCCUCCACAGGACUCUGCCAGUUACCUAAUGCGGGGUGAGGAAAGGUGAUGGGUGGGGGGCGGACUGCAGUGGGCGGAGGGGAGGCUGGGGCCAGAAGCGGAUGAAUUGCAGACCAGUUGCCAAAACUUUUUUUUUUUUUUUCCCUGCUGCUGCUGCUGCGGCUGCCUUUGCUGCUGCCUUUGCUUUGAAUGUGGGUAACUAGGAAACAGCAAGCCGUCUGAGAAGACGGAAUUUCCAACGUGUAAAAUGUUCUUAACGGAACCAUUGAGCGAGUGCAAUAAGGCGUGAGGGGGAACUAAUCUUCCCAUUUAAAUGUUUGUGGCAAUUUUAUCUAAAUGAAUUUUAAUGCUAAACGAGGGUAAUUCCCCAUUUGUAGCGCGUUUACUUCUCUUUCCUGUGCUUCUAAAGCAGUCGAACAUCAUGCAAUGAACAAUAACAAUAAAAAUACUGUCAAGGCA